CACGAUAGUAUUUUGUAUCUUUUUUUUAGCUCUGGUCUGGUUACGAACAUGAGGAGUGUUGACGAGAUUAAGACGAUGUGGAGAAACGCAAAAGGAAGAGUAAAAGAAAAGGUAGAUAAAAGUAAAAUGACUGGUGCUGGUGUGAUUGAGCCCCUAACAGCAUGCGAAGAGUUCGUUAGCAAACCACAUGUACGCUAACAAUCAGUGCCAGUUGCUAGGGAUUCCCGGAGGAUCAGAAACAGCCACUUAUGUUGCACAGUCAUUACCAAGCGGCCAAGAGAUUACCAGAUCGAUGGUCUGAUCGUGCUACACCUUGACGACAACAUGAACAU